AUGGACCGAAAAACACAACCUAAAAUUGCUGCGUUCUUCGUACGACGAAGCAGACCUACCUCACCAUCCGUACCGCCUUCACCACCCCCACAGCCCCCACCUCCACCGGCGGAUCCCCGCAAUCCUCUAAACACCGACGUAGUGGGUGGAACCCGGAGUGGGCUAUGGACCCUAAAUAUGCAGGGUGGCUGUACCACACAGAACACAGGAUGUUUUGCAGACUGUGCAGGAUGCACCGUCAAAAGGCAUUACGUGGCCCCUCUCAAAGGCCUUUCAUAGAGGUCCCCUGCACUAACUACAGGCGUGAUGCCUUGGACUCACACUUGAGCUCAACCAAUCACAUUUCAUGUGUUGGAAUUGCAGCCCAAUCAAGCCCAAGUCUGCCCAUCAGUGAGGCAUUUCAGCCAAUUUUAAAUGUGG